GAGGAUCUCAGCAAGUUCGAGGCCAGCCUGAGGUACAAAAUACCCCAGAUGCCUCGCCGCCAGCCACACUACAUCACACAGCUGCUCAGGGAGACGUUUGCUUGGGUGGCAGCGAGCAUGUCAUAGGUCCAUCCCAGAUGACUGCCCCGCAGAGGUACAAGAGGUCUCAUCAGGUCCGUGAGGAGCCCUACCCCUGCCUAGGACUAUGCAGAAAGUCUGUGCAUAUGGGACCCCACUCGUUCUUUUGUAUAAGCAACUUCCCCCACAUCCUUAGCGGGUCAGUCUGUGCACUGUUCCCCUUUAUGUUGCGGCAUAAGCCCUAAUAAAGCCCCUUCUGAGUGAUA